ACGCACGCUGGCGGCGUGCUUCACACCUGCAAGUCGCACGGAAAGGCCCUGCUUUUGUGGGGUGCUCGAGUGGCGAACGGGUGAGUAACACGUGAGUAACCUGCCCUUGACUUUGGGAUAACUUCAGGAAACUGGGGCUAAUACCGGAUAGGAGCUCCUGCUGCAUGGUGGGGGUUGGAAAGUUUCGGCGGUUGGGGAUGGACUCGCGGCUUAUCAGCUUGUUGGUGGGGUAGUGGCUUACCAAGGCUUUGACGGGUAGCCGGCCUGAGAGGGUGACCGGCCACAUUGGGACUGAGAUACGGCCCAGACUCCUACGGGAGGCAGCAGUGGGGAAUAUUGCACAAUGGGCGGAAGCCUGAUGCAGCAACGCCGCGUGCGGGAUGACGGCCUUCGGGCUGUAAACCGCUUUCGCCUGUGACGAAGCGUGAGUGACGGUAAUGGGUAAAGAAGCACCGGCUAACUACGUG
rnacentral:rRNA from 1 species